UACGAAGGGGCUAGCGUUGUUCGGAAUUACUGGGCGUAAAGGGCGCGUAGGCGGUGUGUCAAGUCAGGCGUGAAAGCCCCGGGCUCAACCUGGGAACAGCGCUUGAGACUGGCACGCUCGAGUUCGGGAGAGGAUGGUGGAAUUCCCAGUGAUAGAGGUGAAAUUCGUAGAUAUUGGGAAGAACACCGAUGGCGAAGGCCAGCCAUCUGGACCGACACUGACGCUGAGGCGCGAAAGCGUGGGGAGCAAACAGG
rnacentral:rRNA from 1 species